rnacentral:rRNA from 1 species
CCUACGGGAGGCUGCAGUGGGGAAUAUUGGGCAAUGGGCGAAAGCCUGACCCAGCAACGCCGCGUGAAGGAAGAAGGCCUUCGGGUUGUAAACUUCUUUGAUCAGGGACGAAACAAAUGACGGUACCUGAAAAACAAGCCACGGCUAACUACGUGCCAGCAGCCGCGGUAAUACGUAGGUGGCAAGCGUUAUCCGGAUUUACUGGGUGUAAAGGGCGUGUAGGCGGUUUUGUAAGUCGGAUGUGAAAUUCCCAAGCUUAACUUGGGCGCUGCAUCCGAAACUACAGAACUUGAGUACUGGAGAGGAUAGUGGAAUUCCUAGUGUAGCGGUAAAAUGCGUAGAUAUUAGGAGGAACAUCAGUGGCGAAGGCGACUAUCUGGACAGUAACUGACGCUGAGGCGCGAAAGCGUGGGGAGCAAACAGGAUUAGAUACCCCAGUAGUC